CUUGGCGGCAAUAGCACUGUAGUACCACCUGAAUCCAUGCCGAACUCAGAAGUGAAAUGCAGUAGCGCCGAUGGUAGUGUGGGAGUUCCCAUGUGAGAGUAGGACAUCGCCAAGC
rnacentral:rRNA from 1 species